AGCAGUAUGGCGUAUUCACAACCCGAUAAAGGACACCAUUUGAUGGUUGCUUUAUGGCACUCCAUGAAGGAUCCAAGAAGCCAUCCCUCGUACAUCUCCUUCACUGGGUCAGUUAGUUUCUCGAUGGUAUCGGAUCCAACAGAGGCGACACAGCCUUGUUUAACUCAAGAGAUGAUGAGUAGGCAACAGAUUCCGCAGCAAUGGAAGCCGAUGGUCAGAAAUACUCUGUUCUCGUGAAAACCGAAGUUCGUGACAAGAUGAUGGAAGAAAUCAAUCUGAUCUCGGAAUUCUUCUCUGUGUCAAAGUCGGUUGCCUAUUCAUCAUCUCUUGCCUUAACUAAGGCUGUGUCCCCUCUGUUGGACCCGAUACCAUCCAGAUCCUGACUGACCCAGUGAAGCAGAUGUAGGAGGGAUGGCUUAUUGGAUCCUUCAUGGAGUGCCAUAAAGCAACCAUCAAAUGGUGUCCUUUAUCGGGUUGUGAAUAGCCAUACUGCUUAACGAAGAUGCCGAAGUUGAUUUCGAUGUGGUCUGUUUUGUGUGGCCGCACCUUCUGUUGGACAUGUGGCGUUGAGUCACAUGGGAGGAUCAAGGUAACAAAAUCAACUCAAAAGAAAGGGAAUAUCAGGAUUGAAAGUGAAAGAGACUACAAGCCAGCAAGAAGUAUUUAUAUACAAAACUGGAAAAGUUGUUUACUCACAAUAAUUAAAAGAAAAAUUUACAGCCUUUUUAGUAAAUUUAAUUAAUCUAUGUAAUACCAGAUGAAUUGUCGCUUA